GGGGCUAUACAUGCAGUCGAGCGCGGGAAGCGAGUGGAUCCCUUCGGGGUGAAGCUCGUGGAACGAGCGGCGGACGGGUGAGUAACACGUGGGCAACCUGCCUGUAAGACCGGAAUAACCCCGGGAAACCGGGGCUAAUGCCGGGUAAUACUUUUCUUCGCAUGAAGGAAAGUUGAAAGAUGGCUUCUUGCUAUCACUUACAGAUGGGCCCGCGGCGCAUUAGCUAGUUGGUGAGGUAACGGCUCACCAAGGCGACGAUGCGUAGCCGACCUGAGAGGGUGAUCGGCCACACUGGGACUGAGACACGGCCCAGACUCCUACGGGAGGCAGCAGUAGGGAAUCUUCCGCAAUGGACGAAAGUCUGACGGAGCAACGCCGCGUGAACGAUGAAGGUCUUCGGAUCGUAAAGUUCUGUUGUUAGGGAAGAACAAGUACCGUGCGAAUAGAGCGGUACCUUGACGGUACCUAACGAGGAAGCCCCGGCUAACUACGUGCCAGCAGCCGCGGUAAUACGUAGGGGGCAAGCGUUGUCCGGAAUUAUUGGGCGUAAAGCGCGCGCAGGCGGUUCCUUAAGUCUGAUGUGAAAGCCCACGGCUCAACCGUGGAGGGUCAUUGGAAACUGGGGAACUUGAGGACAGAAGAGGAGAGUGGAAUUCCACGUGUAGCGGUGAAAUGCGUAGAUAUGUGGAGGAACACCAGUGGCGAAGGCGACUCUCUGGUCUGUUUCUGACGCUGAGGUGCGAAAGCGUGGGUAGCAAACAGGAUUAGAUACCCUGGUAGUCCACGCCGUAAACGAUGAGUGCUAGGUGUUAGGGGGCUUCCACCCCUUAGUGCUGAAGUAACCCAUUAAGCACUCCCCCUGGGGAGUACUGCCGCAAGGUUGAAACUCAAGGAAUUGACGGGGGCCCCCACAAGCAGGGGAGCCUGGGGUUUAUUUCUAACAACACAAAAACAUACCCGGUUUGGCUUUCUUUGUCUCCCCCCCGAUGGAA
rnacentral:rRNA from 1 species